UACGUAGGGGGCGAGCGUUGUCCGAAUUUACUGGGCGUAAAGCGCGCGUAGGCGGACCUUUAAGUCGGGGGUGGAAUGCCGAGGCUCAACUUCGGAACUGCCUUCGAAACUGGGGGUCUUGAGGUAUGGAGAGGGAAGUGGAAUUCCUGGUGUAGCGGUGAAAUGCGUAGAUAUCAGGAGGAACACCUGUGGCGAAGGCGGCUUCCUGGCCAUAUCCUGACGCUGAGGUGCGAAAGCCAGGGGAG
rnacentral:rRNA from 1 species